CACGUGUAGCAGUGAAAUGCGUAGAUAUGUGGAGGAAUACCAAUGGCGAAGGCAGCCCCCUGGGAUAACACUGACGCUCAUGCACGAAAGCGUGGGGAGCAAACAGGAUUAGAUACCCUGGUAGUCCACGCCCUAAACGAUGCCGACUAGUUGUUGGGAAUUUACAUUCUCAGUAGCGUAGCUAACGCGUGAAGUCGGCCGCCUGGGGAGUACGGUCGCAAGAUUAAAACUCAAAGAAAUUGACGGGGACCCGCACAAGCGGUGGAGUAUGUGGCUUAAUUCGAUGCAACGCGAAGAACCUUACCUGGCCUUGACAUGCAUCUCUAAGUCGGUGAAAGCCGGCGAGUGUAGCAAUACACAAUUUGCACAGGUGCUGCAUGGCUGUCGUCAGCU
rnacentral:rRNA from 1 species